rnacentral:rRNA from 1 species
AGAGCCGCACAUCCUGAUGAUUGGGAGCAGCGAGAGUUGGAUGGGCAAAUAUUAUAUGAAUCAUUAGGUGGCAUUCCCCAUGGGCGACUAGCAAUAGCAGGUGGGGCAAUCAAGAAGGCUGAUGUUAUCUCAACGGCUAGAGAAAAGAAAUUGAGGCUGUCAACUUCAGCAGCACAUCAACGAACUGUUCAAGAAAAUGAAGAGAUGAAGCGACAUAAUGAGAACCUGCAGCGACAUAAUGAGAACCUGCAACAUAAAGUGGAUAUGCCCUUUUUAAGGAGAUGGGAAAAGAACUACCAGCGGAGCUACGCCAAGGAGCGAGUUCCCAAC